GGAAGAAAAAUAUGGUUUUGUGAAAAUUGUGGUUGUCAAGAUAGGGUUUUCUUUAUGUGGUGUCAAGGAACUGUUGUGGUUGUUUAUGUUAUAAUUUUUUACCAUUUUUGGAUUAAGGUUUGCAAGAUACUGCAUGUGCGGAGUGGAAUUUUUGGGGGUCAAGGAGCGUGGGAGACAUGAGGAUGUUGAGGUGGUUGUGGGGUAAGCUCGGACGUAUGGUGUUAGAGUUUUAGUAAAUCAGAUGAUGAUUAGGAAUGGGGGAAAACGGUUUGAGAUGGUUUAAAGUUCUCAGGAUACGUCAGAAUGCAGUGGCGAGGGAGGGCAUCACGUCUUUUAUAAAGGUUGAAUGGUUGCUAAUGCUUGGUUGAGAUCACUGAAGACUUGGAUGGAGGGGGGGAG
rnacentral:lncRNA from 1 species